GUGCUCACUUCAGCAGCACACAUGCUAAAAUUGGAACAAUACAGAGAAGAUUAGCAAGGCCUCUGUGCCACAUUAUUUUAUUUAUUUAUUUAUUUAUUUUUU